GGGAGGGGGUGACUAGUGACAGUGAGGGAGCGGGUGACAGUGACAGAGUUAGGGAGGGAGUGACUAGUGACAGUCACUCCCUCCCUCUGUCACUAGUCACUCCCUCCCUCUGUCACCAGUCAUCCCCUCACUCUGUCACCAGUCACCCCUUCCCUCCCUCACUCUGCCACUAGUCACCCAUUCCCUAACUCUGUCACUAGUCACCCCCUCUCCC